rnacentral:rRNA from 1 species
AUGAGAGGCCUGAUUUGGAAUUGUAGAGGCAUUGGAGAUCAAAAAAAGAAAGAUCUUAUUAAAGAUCAAAUUGACAAACACAAUCUUGAUUCUAUGGGCAUUCAGGAAACAAUGAAAAAUGAAUUUAGCUCAUUGGAAUUGUCAACCCUGAGUGCUCAAGAAUAUUUUGAUUGGGAAUAUUUAUCUUCUAGGGGUAGGUCAGGUGGGAUUCUGGUAGGGAUUAAUAAGACCACUCUGGUUAAAGAAGAGGUGGAAUUUGGUGAAUAUUCUGUCAGAAUUAAAGUGCAUAAUGUAAGUGAUGGUUUUACUUGGAACUUGGUGGUGGUGUAUCGGGAUGCUCAGCCUUUGGGCAAACCGAAAUUCCUUGUCGAAUUGGUUCAUAUUUUUAAGAAAUCCAAUAAACCCUUGCUGGUUGCAGGAGAUUUUAAUCUUACUAGGAAAAGUAGUGACAAAAAUAAACCUGGAGGAUAUAAUAAGUGGAGUCUGCUUUUUAACUCCAUUAUUACUUUUGGUGAGAUGAUGGAGUUGCCUUUGGUAGGUAGGAAAUAUACUUGGUCUAACAACCAUGAGGACCCCACUUAUGCGUUGUUAGAUAGAGUCCUAAUUUCACCUGCCUGGGAAGACAAAUUUCCUCUAGUUCACAUUGAGACCCUAGCCAGAGAGCUAUCAGAUCAUACCCCAUCACUACAAAAAAAGACACAUCCGUGA